rnacentral:lncRNA from 1 species
GGGGGCACUGGUGUGUGGGGGAGACUGGGGGCACUGGUGUGCGGGGAGAGGGAUACUGAGGUACUGGUGUGGGGGGGGGAGCACUGGCGGCACUGGUACGUGGAGGCGGCGGUACUAGGGACAGCGGUGUUAAAUCCGAAAAUCCGAAAACCUUUACAAGAGCUUCGCAAGAAGCCUCAGCGCCCGUGUGCUGGUUAUGUCCCGGCAAAGCAACUACCCAAAGAGAAACUAGACCUGUGGGUUGGCGUCUGUCGGCAGGGAGUUAAAUUUGGGCACUGCUUUGGGAAAUGCAACUUCUCUGCACUUCCCGUAUUGCCAAAAGGUCUUGAAAGAGGAGGCGUAGGUCAGCUUGCUUUCGUGUCCUAGCGCUCCYGCUCUUGCAGUCUUCCAAAUUUGCUUCCAAAUCUCCAAGGAGAGCUGCUCCCUCGGAGGACGGACUCGGCAGGAUUCAUUCCCUUCCCUGCCCCGCCACGUAUCUGCAAUUGCCGUUCGCGUUUUUCCUCUGCACACCCCCUUCGCGUCUGUGUUUGCGCUCCUUGGGUGCUCGUGAGCAAAGCUCCAGGUGACUGCACAUGUAAAACAGAAGUCUGUCUGCGCUUGUUUCRCACGUUGAGGAGAAAAGAGCUAGUUGAGAGGGCUGGGCCACMACUCGAGCUCUGUGUCGGAUGGCCACGUAGGGUCCCAAGGACCUGCAGAAGGUCUGAACUAAGAGUGGUGCAACCUCAUCCAACCUCACACAAGCUGACGUCAGCCCUGAAGCAUAUUAACAACUCUGAAGAUAGUAACAACUAUUGCGAAUGCUGCUUUUGUUUAACUAACAGAUGGCCAUUUACCUUAAAAGAGAAAAAGCUACUCAGUUUACAUGAUCUGGACAGUCUCGUGCGUGCAGUCGCACAUUUUGCAUGAAGAAACAGUGACAUUUUGGUUGCAGAGAGAGCUUGUGCCUUCUCAUUCGUCUCAUGCCUGGUAAGGAGUAAUAAUGUUUAGAAAGUACUACCUARAACACUAGGUACUGAAUAAUUCUGAGUAUUUUCAGAUAUUCAGGUUUAAAUUGAGAACAAUGGUGAGAAUCUAUUUCAAUAAUAGUUGAAAGUUUUGAAUAAAGGGAUUUGAAAAAAAAAUCA